rnacentral:rRNA from 1 species
UUAUAUGGUCAAGAAGAGAAGCGCAAACGGUGGAUGCCUUGGCAGUAAGAGGCGAAGAAGGACGUGGAAUCCUGCGAAAAGCUAUGGGGAGCUGGAAACGAGCGUUGAGCCAUAGAUGUCCGAAUGGGGGAACCCGGCUGCAGCGAUGCGGUCAUUUGCAUUUGAAUACAUAGGAUGCAAAGGCGAACUCGGGGAACUGAAACAUCUAAGUACCCGAAGGAAAAGAAAUCAAGAGAGAUUCUCCAAGUAGCGGCGAGCGAACGGGGAGGAGCCUGGCGUGAUUUAUUAUUGAACUGAGUAGAACAAUUUGGGAAAGUUGGCGAUAGAGGGUGAAAGCCCCGUAUACGAAGGUUUGAUGAGGAACUAGGCACGCGAACAAGUAGGCCGGGACACGUGAAAUCCUGGUUGAAGAUGGGUGGACCAUCAUCCAAGGCUAAAUACUACUUACUGACCGAUAGUGAACCAGUACCGUGAGGGAAAGGUGAAAAGAACCCCGGAGAGGGGAGUGAAAUAGAAUCUGAAACCGUUUGCGUACAAGCAGUGGGAGCAUGGUUUAGGCUGUGUGACUGCGUACCUUUUGUAUAAUGGGUCAGCGAGUUACUUUCAGUGGCGAGGUUAACUGAAUAAGGGAGCCGUAGAGAAAUCGAGUCUGAAUAGGGCGAUAGUCGCUGGGAGUAGACCCGAAACCGGGCGAUCUAGUCAUGUGCAGGAUGAAGGUUGGGUAACACCAACUGGAGGUCCGAACCGGGUAAUGUUGAAAAAUUAUCGGAUGACGUGUGGCUAGGAGUGAAAGGCUAAUCAAGCCCGGAGAUAGCUGGUUCUCCCCGAAAGCUAUUUAGGUAGCGCCUCGUGAAUGAUUACUGGGGGUAGAGCACUGUUUCGGCUAGGGGGCUGUCAUGGCUUACCAAACCGAUGCAAACUCCGAAUACCGGCUAAUUG